GCGCCCGUAGCUCAGCUGGAUAGAGCAGCGGACUUCUAAUCCGCAGGUCGCUGGUUCGAGCCCAGCCGGGCGUG
rnacentral:tRNA from 1 species